AUGCCCCUCAGUUACACGAGAUUGCAGAAAGUACAUUAUCAGCCUAUUUUUUACAAGCUCCAAUGCAACACCUCCGGAUGGAACAAGCUUAUGCUUCCCACUGCCGGACGGCUUGCUCUAAUCACCUCUGUCUUAUAUGCUUUGCCAGUCUUCCAGAUUUUUGCCAUUGAACCUCCUCGUUGGGUUGUCAAAAAGUUUGACAAAAGAUGCAGAGGUUUCCUUUGGGCAAAUAAAGAUGAGGCAACUGGGGGUAAAUGUCUGGUUAAUUGGAAGCAAGUAUGCUUACCUAAAAAGUUUGGCGGCCUUGGGAUUCCCUGUCUGCUCCAAAAAAGCGAGGCAAUGAGAUGCAAGUGGCUGUAG
rnacentral:rRNA from 1 species